rnacentral:tRNA from 1 species
AAUCUUAUAGUUUAAUAAAACUUUAAAUUGCAAAUUUAAAAAUGGAUAUAAUUUCUAAGAUUU